CCUACGGGAGGCAGCAGUGAGGAAUAUUGGUCAAUGGCCGGAAGGCUGAACCAGCCAAGCCGCGUGAAGGACGAAGGUGCCAAGCAUUGUAAACUUCUUUUGUCAAGGGACAAAAUCAGGCUCGAGAGCAUGAACGAGGGUACUUGAAGAAACAGAAUCGGCUAACUCCGUGCCAGCAGCCGCGGUAAUACGGAGGAUGCGAGCGUUAUCCGGAUUUAUGGGGUUUCAAGGGUGCGUAGUCGGGCUGUUAAGUCAGCGGUAAAAGCCCGGGGCUCAACCCCGGCGAGCCGUGGAAACUGGCUGUCUUGAGAUGUCGAGAGGUAUGCGGAAUGCGCAGGUUAGCGGUGAAAUGCUUAGAUAUUGCGCAGAACUCCGAUUGCGAAGGCAGCAUACCGGCGGCGAUCUGACGCUGAGGCACGAAAGCGUGGGUAUCGAACAGGAUUAGAUACCCGAGUAGUC
rnacentral:rRNA from 1 species